rnacentral:rRNA from 1 species
AACGAACGCUGGCGGCAUGCCUAACACAUGCAAGUCGAACGAGACCUUCGGGUCUAGUGGCGCACGGGUGCGUAACGCGUGGGAACCUGCCCUUAGGUUCGGAAUAACUCCCCGAAAGGGGUGCUAAUACCGGAUAAUGUCUUCGGACCAAAGAUUUAUCGCCUUUGGAUGGGCCCGCGUUGGAUUAGCUAGUUGGUAGGGUAAAAGCCUACCAAGGCGACGAUCCAUAGCUGGUCUGAGAGGAUGAUCAGCCACACUGGGACUGAGACACGGCCCAGACUCCUGCGGGAGGGAGCAGUGGGGAAUAUUGGACAAUGGGCAAAAGCCUGAUCCAGCACUGCCGCGUGAGUGAUGAAGGCCUUGGGGUUGUAAAGCUCUUUUACCCGGGAUGAUAAUGACAGUACCGGGAGAAUAAGCUCCGGCUAACUCCGUG